rnacentral:lncRNA from 1 species
AGGACAUUUACUACAAAUAUUGAAGCCAGUGAUUCCUUAGGUUCCGGUGGAGAGGACUUCAAGGCAGCUGACCCCAAAGGACAAGACUCUGUCAUCGUUAAUUCUUCUAGCGCCCUCAAGUGCUAGUGGUGGGAGACAUUGCUGGGAAUAACGUUGAGGAUGCAACAAUUUUGGCCAUAGCCAAAUCUCAUGAUGCACUUGCCUCAUUUAGGCCUCCUUAGGUUUGUUAUUACUCGCCAUCCGUCUUGCUAUUGUCCCCAUCUUUUCCAUUAUCUCCAUCUUACUUUGUUUCUUUAUUUCAGAUUCCAUCGACCAAUGCUAUCACGACCAACGUUAGGGUACCAGUACUGUCCUCCUCUCUACUUCUACUUUCAUUUCGUCUCCUCUACCACUGAGCUCACUUUCUAUUCUUAUCCAAGUUCUCUCUUCCAUCUUUGCUUUUGUUUUUACCAGCUCGCUAACCGUUCAUCUUACUCAAUCAACAAUCCACAUCAUGACGUUUCCUAUUGCUAUGGCUCCUCUUACCAUAUCUAACCUUCCUCCCAUGGUCAACUUUCCUUUCUCAUCAGACACCCUUUAAG